AACGCACAUUGCGCCCCUUGGUAUUCCAUGGGGCAUGCCUGUUCGAGCGUCAUUUGUACCCUCAAGCUUUGCUUGGUGUUGGGCGUCUUGUCUACCUCUUUAGCGGGUAGACUCGCCUUAAAGUAAUUGGCAGCCAGUGUUUUUGGCAGUAAGCGCAGCACAUUUUGCGUCUUAGUCCCCAAACAGUGGCAUCCACAAAGCCUCUUUCUCACUGUUGACCUCGGAUCAGGUAGGGAUACCCGCUGAACUUAA
rnacentral:misc_RNA from 1 species